UACGGAGGGGGCGAGCGUUAUUCGGAAUUAUUGGGCUUAAAGGGCGUGUAGGCGGCUUGCCAAGUCACAGGUGAAAGCCCUCGGCUUAACUGAGGAAGUGCAUCCGAAACUGGCAGGCUAGAGUACUAAAGAGGGUCGCGGAAUUCCCGGUGUAGAGGUGAAAUUCGUAGAUAUCGGGAGGAACACCGGUGGCGAAGGCGGCGACCUGGGUAGAUACUGACGCUGAGGUGCGAAAGCGUGGGGAGCAAACAGG
rnacentral:rRNA from 1 species